rnacentral:rRNA from 1 species
GCACUAGGUGUGAGGCUCCUUUCCGGGGGUUUUGCGCCGUAGCUAACGCAUUAAGUGCCCCGCCUGGGGAGUACGGCCGCAAGGCUAAAACUCAAAGGAAUUGACGGGGGCCCGCACAAGCGGCGGAGCAUGCGGAUUAAUUCGAUGCAACGCGAAGAACCUUACCAAGGCUUGACAUGUUAACCGUGGCUCUAGAGAUAGGGUUUACCCUUUUGGGUGGUUUUCACAGGUGGUGCAUGGCUGUCGUCAG